rnacentral:rRNA from 1 species
UACAGAGGUCCCAAGCGUUGUCCGGAUUCACUGGGCGUAAAGGGUGCGUAGGCGGUCGGGUAAGUCUGAUGUGAAAUCUCACAGCUUAACUGUGAAACUGCAUUGGAUACUAUUCGGCUUGAGAGUUGGAGGGGGGACUGGAAUUCUUGGUGUAGCAGUGAAAUGCGUAGAUAUCAAGAGGAACACCAGUGGCGAAGGCGAGUCCCUGGACAACUUCUGACGCUAAGGCACGAAAGCUAGGGGAGCAAACAGG